GCAGAGGGGGAGGUGACAGGCGGGCAGGACCAGAGCUGGUAGGGUUUAUCUGACCUUCUCCAUGUCAACCACCCGGCACUCUGUUCAUUAGCAGCUUGGAGGAUGCAAGUUAGGCCAGGGGCGGAGCCUAGAUGCUUUGUUAGCGGGCGUGGGAAUGAGGAGAAAGGGUGCUUAGGAGUUUGGCAUUGAGCCUGGGUGUGUGGGAAGCAUGGGAUAGCUCAGUAAAGUCACUGUGGCCCUCAUCCAGUUUGCCUUACAACUUAUGACGUCUCUCGGGCAGACUCAUCUUUGUACCGGUGUUGCAACGAGCAGGAAAGGGUGUACUAGAACAAGAGCAGACUUGGGAGACAGCCAGAUCUGAAUUUCAACUCUAAAUCCUGGGCCCUUUUGGCCAUAGGCAAAUCAUUUUAUACUUUGGGCCCCAAGUUCCCAAACCUGUAAAGUGGGAAGAAGAGAAAUACCCAUCCCGUGUGCGGACGGGAAGGCUAGACGAGCUUCGAGCGGGACGGCACGUAGCUGGUGAUGAGUGACUGGUACCUGCUAAUUGUGGUGAGAGAGUCUUGCACCAACCAAACGACGGCAUCAUCUGAACCGUGAGGUGAUGAAAACCAGUGACCCCCCAUGCACUGCGCCGCGGGAGCUGGCCAGUGCUUGGCCACCACUAGCUGCGUGGUUCCUCUGAAUUCAUCCACAAGCCUAGACAGAGAAGAGCCACCUCACCCAGGCCUCUGCACAAUGGCGAUGGCGACUGUCUCCUGGUGUACUGAUCCCCGCUUUGCAGACAUAUCCACCAGCGGUUUUCAAAUACGACCUCAUGAGACACAGCUGCGGUGUCCUUAACAGUCUGGAUUCCUGGUCUGCAAUCCUACAAACUGAUUCAGCUGAACUCAGGAGCCCCAGCUGUGACUGCAGCUGAAGCCACUUCCUCCCCCUACUGAUCCUGAGAACCACUCUGAGAAACUGAGCUCUGGUCCUUACCUGGAAGAGCACACACAAUCUGUGUCCCGUCUGCAUUGUCCCUCCAGCCCAUCCCUUGGACUGCUGCCCCUGUCCAGGCUCACUUGAGUUCUCUGGGGUCAAGGUGUGGCCUUUCAGAUGAAAGAGUGUACAAAGCCUCCCUCCCGUGGCUAAUGUGAGCACUGAUGUGUUCCUUCGCCUCUUCGAGAAGGCUACAAUUGUUUGU